UCGGGCGUGGUGCGCGGUGCACAACAGCAUUCAGUCAAGCAAGUGAUCUAAAGACGAGAAUAUCAGCUGUAAGUCGGGGUUCGACUCCCCGCGUCCAAA